rnacentral:rRNA from 1 species
CCUACGGGCCGCACCAGUGGGGAAUAUUGCACAAUGGGCGCAAGCCUGAUGCAGCCACGCCGCGUGUAUGAAGAAGGCCUUCGGGUUGUAAAGUACUUUCAGCGGGGAGGAAGGCGAUAAGGUUAAUAACCUUGUCGAUUGACGUUACCCGCAGAAGAAGCACCGGCUAACUCCGUGCCAGCAGCCGCGGUAAUACGGAGGGUGCAAGCGUUAAUCGGAAUUACUGGGCGUAAAGCGCACGCAGGCGGUCUGUCAAGUCGGAUGUGAAAUCCCCGGGCUCAACCUGGGAACUGCAUUCGAAACUGGCAGGCUAGAGUCUUGUAAAGGGGGGUAGAAUUCCAGGUGUAGCGGUGAAAUGCGUAGAGAUCUGGAGGAAUACCGGUGGCGUAGGCGGCCCCCUGGACAAAGACUGACGCUCAGGUGCGAAAGCGUGGGGAGCAAACAGGAUUAGAUACCCUCGUAGU